UUCUCUCUUUUUUUUGUAAGAUCCAAACCUACAUAAAGUCCUAAGCCAGCUAGACGAGAGUCCAGUAGAUGGAUUCUCGAAGUGCUUAGAUGAAG